UAUAAAGAAGGUUAAAAUGUGCUUUCUACUUUGGAUAAGAAGUGGCUGAAAUUCAUCCAAAUUUAAUAACAAAAUAGUGCAUGCCCAUUACAUCAAAUGAAAAAGGAUACGUUCAGUUAUUCAACUUCUAGCAUGCCUCCAAUCAAUUACUAAUUAGUAAAACUAUAUCACGUGUAACCCACAAACUUACACGCCAGGUGAUUUUCCAGAAAGAAGAAAUGGCGUCGGUUCCAGAUAAUAUGGUGAAGGCUCCAGCUCCCCAAAAUGAUGAGACAGACUCUUCAAACACACAGCUACUUGAAGAUCUCCAAGACCAGUUGGUCUCCCUGAAGGAACAGAUGGAUCUAUGCAACACUGUUCUGAAGGACUUGGUGGACCUGCGGGGUGUUUUAAGGGAGAAGAAACUUAGUGAUGGAUCACUCCCUGCUCCGAAGUGACUGAUUUGACAUUUUACUCCUGGUGGAAAUGUGGAACAUUUUGUAUGUCAAUAAAUAAACUAUCAAGGAUCA